rnacentral:lncRNA from 1 species
UAAUCAUGAGACUUUUUGCAGUGUUCUAACUGUUUUACAUAUGCUUGAAAGUAUUCCAAAAAAUCAUAAGAGCAUUGAGAGAGCUAUGAGGAAGUUCCUUUUGUCUGGCUCAAGGAACUCUACAAAAGAUCAUCUGGUCAGAUGGGAGGUUUGUUGUUUGCCUAAAUGAUUGAUGGGGGUCUAUGCAUUAGGAACUUCUAUUGUAAGACUUGUGGCUAAAUGCUUAUGGUAUUCUCCUCUAGAAACUAAUGGCUUGUAGCUCAGGCUAUUCAAUAGGUAUGGUCAGUGUUAAAAUGGUUGACAUUCCUAAAUCAAUGUAUCUACUAUAAGUAAUGAUAUUCAUAAUCUAGUCGAAAAACUAUUGCAAAUAGAUCAAAUUAAAUUAAGUUUUGUCAUGUCUUCGAUCAAAAGAGGGGAGGACAGAAAACUUCGGUCCAGUCUGAACCUAAUGGACCUAAAGUUCAAAAUUUUAUAUAUAUAUAUUUGAAAAUCAGCAUGAUUAUGAAUUGAUACUAAAUAAAUUAUUGCUUAUCUUAUUAAUUUCAUCAAUUAUGGAUUUGAUGAAUAACUGCAGUUUCUGAAUUUAUCUUUUACUUUAAUUUAUUGAUUUUGUAAAGGGUCGUGGAAGAAAAAAUACUGAAUAUUUAUUUAUCUAUUGUUGAAAUGAGAAUAGAAAUAUAUAUACAUGUAAAUAGAUUCAUAUAUGGUAACCAACAUAAAUCACCUUAUUAAUUAUGCUAACAUACUUGAAAAAAUAAUCAUACUAUUAUGUAUAGGAAAUCUUUUAUAAUAUUCUAAUACUUCCUAUCAAAUUGGAGCAUAAAUAUUAAUCAUUUUUUAAAAAUAAAAAGAGAAUAUUAUUAUGUACAAGGUACCAAGGGGGUACCAUCCGAAUACCAACUAGUUACGUGCCAAUCAAGUGGUCUAUGACAGCACCAAAGUCCCACAUGUUUUUGAUAUCAUGACCCAACAAAAUAGAGCCAAAAGUAUUAAUCCAUCUAAUUUUUGUAAAGUUAGUCUCUAUACCCUCAAAAGCUCUUCCAUUCCUUUCCUUCCAAACUACCCAAAGAAUUGUAAGUGGAAUAAGGAACAAAUGAUAUUUCUUUUUACAAAGUCCACUCACGCCCACAACUCAUUACUAACACUCCCAGCCAUAACCCAAUUUAACCCUAAUAGCCCAAAAAUAGAGGUCCAUAUGCUGUAUGUCACUAGGCAAAAUAAUAAUAAGUGAUUGCAUGAUUCUUCAGUAGCAUGGCAUAAGUAGCUUCUAUUAACCAGCACAUUCCCUUUCCUUUUUAGCAUAUCCAGGGUCAAAAUACAA